rnacentral:rRNA from 1 species
UUGGAGGGCAAGUCUGGUGCCAGCAGCCGCGGUAAUUCCAGCUCCAAUAGCGUAUAUUAAAGUUGUUGCAGUUAAAAAGCUCGUAGUUGAAUUUCGGGACCAAUUUGUCGGUCGUGCCUCGGUACGUACUGGUAUUAUUGGUUUCUACCUUCUGAAGAACCUUGAUGUCAUUAAUUUGGUGUCUUGGGGAAUCAGGACUGUUACUUUGAAAAAAUUAGAGUGUUUAAAGCAGGCAUGCGCUUGAAUACAUUAGCAUGGAAUAAUGAAAUAGGACGUUCGAUCCUAUUUUGUUGGUUUCUAGGAUUGACGUAAUGAUUAAUAGGGAUAGUUGGGGGCAUUAGUAUUCAAUUGUCAGAGGUGAAAUUCUUGGAUUUAUUGAAGACUGACUACUGCGAAAGCAUUUGCCAAGGAUGUUUUCAUUAAUCAAGAACGAAAGUUAGGGGAUCGAAGACGAUCAGAUACCGUCGUAGUCUUAACCAUAAACUAUGCCGACUAGGGAUCGGAUGAUGUUAAUUUUUUAAUGACUCAUUCGGCGCCUUACGGGAAAC